ACGUAGGUGGCAAGCGUUGUCCGGAAUUAUUGGGCGUAAAGCGCGCGCAGGCGGUCCUUUAAGUCUGAUGUGAAAGCCCACGGCUCAACCGUGGAGGGUCAUUUGAGACUGGGGGGCUUGAGUGCAGAAGAGAGGGGUGGAAUUCCACGUGUAGCAGUGAAAUGCUUAGAGAUGUGGAGGAACACCGAUGGCGAAGGCAGC
rnacentral:rRNA from 1 species